CUUCUCCUUAUGGUUUGAGAAACCCACCACAAUUUCUUGUCCUUUAGAGAACUACUCUCUCACCCGAUGACCCCUCCCCAACCGGGAAGGGGAACUGGGGGAAAAACAAGGACCCAGGAGGACACUGGGGAGCUACAUUGCGGUUCUGUGAUGGUGACUUGGAGCACUGCAGCCACACUGGAGUCCGUGCCAUGGGCGCUCUGAUGCCUUGUCUCCCCUGGGCCCUCUCCUCCUGAUUGUGAUGGGGCUCAGCGUAUUCUCAUCUGUGCUGUGGAGGAAGCUGCUUCAGAAGUGAAGGAGAAGAAGAAGCGUCAGGCAAGGAAGACAAGAGCCCAGCCGGAGAAGCAGAGCUGAGCUCUGAGAAAGCUGAGAAGGCAGCCCUGAGCUGGGGCUGUGCCGGCAGCUGCUGGCCGCUCACUCUGUCUCCUCCCUCUGCAGCUUCUCAGACAGUGGCUGGAGGAGUGGAGAAAUCCUGGCCCAAGCAGGAGAAGCGGGCGAGUGCGGAGGCCUUGAGCCGGAAGCCCCUCUCCCCACGGGCCCCGCUGGCCACCAUGGACUCCAUGACAGACAGAGGCUACUCUUCCUCAGCUUCCUUUACCCUUCCCGGAGGCCUGUCCUGGUGGGAUGGCGGAGCUGGCAGCACUCAACCGCUCAGGACCCCGCCAUCCCCCCAGGGCUGUCAAGGGGAGGGUGGAGGAGCCAGGGCCAGCCCUCUGCCAGGAGCCCCCACAGGAACUGCCAACAAGGACCACGCAAGAGGUCUACUUGACCUCUUGCACAUUUUCAAGGCGUGGGGGGAGAGGCAGCAGCGCGGCGAGCCCAUGGCCAGACUGCCAUGGCCAGACAGC